AUGAGAUACAGGGCCCCCAGGAGCAAAGAUCAUCCAGGCCCUCUGUCAGUAGUAAUGAGACUGGGGAGCGCGGUGACCCUGCAGUCUCUGGGAACUGGAAGUGGUUAUCUCCCACAUGAGCCUACAACUAACAUUUGCAGUCUACUGUUCCAAAAUUUUUCUGCGUUUUGUAAUUAUGUGGUUGUUUCACACUAUUUCAAAAAGAAUCUGUUAUUAGGCAUUUGGGUUAAUUAUUCAAAACUAUAGACAAAACAAAAAUUUCAUGAUUUCUGAAGCCAGUUGUCAAACAAAAAUGGUCUUUGAAAACACAAUGGUCCACACAAGUAAAAACAUAAACAUAAAAUAAAAGUGGUUACACAGUAUCCUUACUAAACUACAAUAAGCAACAGUGGACAAACAAAGGUACUGAAGUGGCCCCUGCUAUUUGAGCAAGACAUUUUCUGGAAAAUGAUUCAAAAAAGGAUAUUUUUCUUAGCAUUUCCCCCAGAUAGAACAGUGUGUAGCUCUUACAUUUCUUUGACUCUCCUAUUCAGUUUUAUAGGAAUAUAGAAACUGUAAAAUCUGGAGGAAAUGUCUGAAGAUAUGUGAUUGUCCCUGAAAAUGGGUAAAAGAAUAAUGAAUAAGGNNNNNNNNNCACCCAUUCCUAGAGGGAACCUCAAAUUUUGUGUGCCCACCAGGGGUCCAGAAAGGCUGAGGGCAGGAGAAGAGGGCGUUAGAGGAUGAGAUGCUGGAUGACCCCGUGGACUGCAGCAUGCCAGGCUUCCCUGUCCGCCCCUCACCAUCUCCCAGAAUUUGCCCAAGUUCGUGUUCAUUGCAUCGAUGAUGCCAUCCAGCCAUCUCAUCCUCUGAUGCCC
rnacentral:lncRNA from 1 species